AUGAUGAUAGGGGCUGGCAAGGAGUAAAAAGAGAAAGAAAGAUUGAGUGAAAGGAGGGAGAUAAAGACAAAAGUUGUCAUGUUCGUUCUUUUCUCCCUUCCACGUGAAAGUCAUUUUUUUUUCUUCCUUCUUAACCAGCAGCAUAUGGAGAGAAAUAAAAAGGGAGAGAAGGCCUGCCAAAAACGAGAGAAGCAAAGAAAGAAAGGAGGAAGGAAAAAGAGAGAAAGAGAGAGCUGGGAGAGAGAGAUUUUGUGCUGCCACUUAGAGGAGUCAAAAGAGGAAAGUUUGCUGCAAAUUUUAAGGGAAAAGAAAGCUAAGUUACUGCUGUAUUUUGAGGAAAGAAAAGAGAGAAAGCUGAGUAUUGGAGUGUUGCUAGCGGUGAGAGAAAGAGAGGAAGAAAGUGCAGCCGAUUAGUGCGUGAAAGGAGGGAGAAAAAAGGAAGAGAAAAAAAAAGUAGAAGAGAAAGGAAAAAACGAGAAAGAAAGACAAGGAUCGACUUAACGAAUAAUCAUCAACGCGUUCGGUCUACCGCAAAUAGGUAAAGGCAUCUCAUGGCCUUUUAUUCCGAGUCACUCUGCUGUUAGAGAUUGAGUUAUGGUACUUUGGUUUUACUAUGUAAACAAAUAUUAGUUUUGAUAAAACAUAAAUUUUAAAUUAUUGAACUCAAUGUAUUUAAUUGUGAUAUCAUGACUUAAAGUCAAAAUUUAAUGGCUA